CCUACGGGUGGCAGCAGUGGGGAAUAUUGCACAAUGGGGGAAACCCUGAUGCAGCAACGCCGCGUGAGUGAAGAAGUAAUUCGGUAUGUAAAGCUCUAUCAGCAGGGAAGAAAAUGACGGUACCUGAGUAAGAAGCCCCGGCUAACUACGUGCCAGCAGCCGCGGUAAUACGUAGGGGGCAAGCGUUAUCCGGAUUUACUGGGUGUAAAGGGAGCGUAGACGGCAGGGCAAGUCUGGAGUGAAAGGCGGGGGCUCAACCCCGGGACUGCUCUGGAAACUGUGCGGCUGGAGUGCAGGAGGGGUAAGUGGAAUUCCUAGUGUAGCGGUGAAAUGCGUAGAUAUUAGGAGGAACACCAGUGGCGAAGGCGGCUUACUGGACUGUAACUGACGUUGAGGCUCGAAAGCGUGGGGAGCAAACAGGAUUAGAUACCCGAGUAGUC
rnacentral:rRNA from 1 species